rnacentral:lncRNA from 1 species
AAUACAAAACCAAAUAGGUUCACAUAUCAUGUUUCGUAUCAAGGGUCAUCGAGGGACAAGUUCAACCUUUAUCAAACUUCGAACCAUAUAGGCUAAUAUCUCAUUUUCGCGACAAGGGUCGUUCCAAUACACUUUCAUUUUACCGAAUACAAAGCCAAAUAGUUUCAUAUAUCAUAUUUCGCAUCAAGGGACAUCGAGAGACAAGUUCAACCAUAUAGGCUAAAAUCUCAUUUUCAACAAAAUAGGUUCAAUAUUAUCUUACGCAUCAAAGGGCAUCGAGGGACAAAUUCAACUUUCAAAUUUAUCAAACUUCUAACCAUAUAGGCUAAAAUCUCAUUUUUGCGACAAGGGUUAUUCCAAUACACUUUCAUUUUACCGAAUACAAAACCAAAUAGUUUCAUAUAUCAUAUUUCGCAUCAAGGGACAUCGAG